rnacentral:rRNA from 1 species
GACGAACGCUGGCGGCGCGCCUAACACAUGCAAGUCGAACGAGAGAUGAGGAGCUUGCUCUUCAAAUCGAGUGGCGAACGGGUGAGUAACGCGUGAGGAACCUGCCUCAAAGAGGGGGACAACAGUUGGAAACGACUGCUAAUACCGCAUAAGCCCACGGCUCGGCAUCGAGCAGAGGGAAAAGGAGCAAUCCGCUUUGAGAUGGCCUCGCGUCCGAUUAGCUAGUUGGUGAGGUAACGGCCCACCAAGGCGACGAUCGGUAGCCGGACUGAGAGGUUGAACGGCCACAUUGGGACUGAGACACGGCCCAGACUCCUACGGGAGGCAGCAGUGGGGAAUAUUGCACAAUGGGGGAAACCCUGAUGCAGCGACGCCGCGUGGAGGAAGAAGGUCUUCGGAUUGUAAACUCCUGUUGUUGAGGAAGAUAAUGACGGUACUCAACAAGGAAGUGA